rnacentral:sRNA from 1 species
AUUUUAGUUGAUCCAAUGUUGUAAGGUUUAAUAUGUGUCAAGAUUUGUAAGUGGAAGGUUCCACAGUUGUAUCUUUACAAC